rnacentral:rRNA from 1 species
CUUUCGGGUUGUAAACCCCUUUUCUUGGUGAGGAGGAAGGACGGUAGCCAAGGAAUAAGCCUCGGCUAACUACGUGCCAGCAGCCGCGGUAAUACGUAGGAGGCGAGCGUUAUCCGGAUUCACUGGGCGUAAAGGGCGUGUAGGCGGCUCCUUAAGUUGGCGGUGAAAUCUCCUGGCUCAACCGGGAGGGGUCUGCCAAAACUGAGGGGCUUGAGGGCAGCAGAGGAAGGUGGAAUUCCCGGCGUAGCGGUGAAAUGUGUAGAUAUCGGGAGGAACACCAGUGGCGAAAGCGGCCUUCUGGGCUGUUCCUGACGCUGAGGCGCGAAAGCGUGGGGAGCGAAGCGGAUUAGAUACCCGCGUAGUCCACGCCCUAAACGGUGGACACUAGGUAUAGGGGGUAUCGACCCCCUCUGUGCCGAAGCUAACGCCUUAAGUGUCCCGCCUGGGGACUACGGCCGCAAGGCUAAAACUCAAAGGAAUUGACGGGGGCCCGCACAAGCAGCGGAGCGUGUGGUUUAAUUCGAUGCAACACGAAGAACCUUACCAAGGCUU